rnacentral:rRNA from 1 species
UGGGGAAUUGUUCGCAAUGGGCGCAAGCCUGACGACGCAACGCCGCGUGGAGGAUGAAGAUUUUCGGAUCGUAAACUCCUGUCGAAUGGGACGAAAAGGUCGUGGAUUAAUAUCCCGCGAUCCUGACGGUACCGUUAAAGGAAACCCCGGCUAACUCCGUGCCAGCAGCCGCGGUAAUACGGGGGGGGUAAGCGUUGUUCGGAAUUACUGGGCGUAAAGGGCUCGUAGGCGGCCAACUAAGUCAGACGUGAAAUCCCUCAGCUUAACUGGGGAACUGCGUCUGAUACUGGAUGGCUUGGAUUUGGGAGAGGAAUGCGGAAUUCCAGGUGUAGCGGUGAAAUGCGUAGAUAUCUGGAGGAACACCGGUGGCGAAGGCGGCAUUCUGGACCAAUAUUGACGCUGAGGAGCGAAAGCCAGGGGAGCAAACGG